UACGUAGGGAGCGAGCGUUGUCCGGAAUUACUGGGCGUAAAGGGCGCGUAGGCGGGGUUUUAAGUAGGGUGUGAAGACUAACGGCUCAACCGAUAGACUGCAUCCUAAACUGGGACUCUUGAGGGCAGGAGAGGAAAGUGGAAUUCCUAGUGUAGCGGUGAAAUGCGUAGAUAUUAGGAGGAACACCAGUGGCGAAGGCGACUUUCUGGACUGUACCUGACGCUGAGGCGCGAAAGCGUGGGGAGCGAAC
rnacentral:rRNA from 1 species